ensembl:snRNA U6 U6 spliceosomal RNA
GUGCUCACAUAUACUGAAAUUGGAAGGAUACAGAGAAGAUUAGCCUGGCCCCUGUGCAAGGAUGACACUCAAAUUCGUGAAGCGCUCCAUAAUUUU